rnacentral:rRNA from 1 species
UACGUAGGGUGCAAGCGUUGUCCGGAAUUAUUGGGCGUAAAGAGCUCGUAGGCGGUUUGUCGCGUCGGCUGUGAAAACUGGAGGCUUAACCUUCAGCGUGCAGUCGAUACGGGCAGACUUGAGUUCGGUAGGGGAGACUGGAAUUCCUGGUGUAGCGGUGGAAUGCGCAGAUAUCGGGAAGAACACCCGUGGCGAAGGCGGCUCUCUGGGACGGUACUGACGCUGAGACGCGAAAGCGUGGGGAGCGAACAGG